UAUGUGAUCGUCUCUCGCAUAUCAAUAAGCGGAGGAAAAGAAACUAACAAGGAUUCCCCUAGUAACGGCGAGUGAAGCGGGAAGAGCUCAAAUUUGAAAUCUUAAAGGGUUUCCCUUUACGAAUUGUAGUUUAAAGAAGUGUUUUCUGUUGAGGUUUUGGUAAAAGUUCUUUGGAAUAGGACAUCAUAGAGGGUGAGAAUCCCGUAUUUGACCUUUACUUUCAACUUUGUGAUACACUUUCAAAGAGUCGGAUUGUUUGGGAAUGCAGUCCAAAAUGGGUGGUAAAUUUCAUCUAAAGCUAAAUAUUGGCGAGAGACCGAUAGCGAACAAGUACCGUGAGGGAAAGAUGAAAAGAACUUUGAAAAGAGAGUUAAACAGUACGUGAAAUUGUCAAAAGGGAAGCGUUUGACACCAGUGUUGUUUUUCUGAAAAUCAAUUAAAGAACUGUUUAUGCUAAGUUGUUUAGACUUUAUCAGCUAACUGUUUAGUUUUGAGCUUUUCUUUAAUGCACUUUUCAGUUAACAAGUCAACAUCAAUUUCUUUUGCUGUAAAAAAGCUUGAGGAAGGUGGCCUGAGAUUCGUCUUAAGUGUUUAUAGCCUCUUGCCUAUGCAGUCGGAGAGAUUGAGGUCUGCAGCGUAGAUCCUUCGGGGCUAAAUGCAUUUGUGCUAAGUUAUAGCAUUUUAUAGACAACUUGUUGACUAUGAUUUGUCUUGUAGCUUACUCGCUUAUGUUAUUUUACCUACGCUUAGGAUGUUGAACGCGCACAGAGUCUC
rnacentral:rRNA from 1 species